GACGAACGCUGGCGGCGUGCUUAACACAUGCAAGUCGAACGGAAAGGCCCUGCUUUUGUUGGGUGCUCGAGUGGCGAACGGGUGAGUAACACGUGAGUAACCUGCCCUGGACUUUGGGAUAACUUCAGGAAACUGUGGCUAAUACCGGAUAGGAGCGCCUGCUGCCUGGUGGGGGUUGGACAGUUUCGGCGGUUGGGGAUGGACUCGCGGGUUAUCAGCUUGUUGGUGGGGUAGUGGCUUACCAAGGCUUUGACGGGUAGCCGGCCUGGGAGGGUGACCGGCCACAUUGGGACUGAGAUACGGACCAGACUCCUACGGGAGGCAGCAGUGGGGAAUAUUGCACAAUGGGCGGAAGCCUGAUGCAGCAGCGCCGCGUGCGGGAUGACGGCCUUCGGGUUGUAAACCGCUUUCGCCUGUGACGAAGCGUGAGUGACGGUAAUGGGUAAAGAAGCACCGGCUAACUACGUG
rnacentral:rRNA from 1 species